rnacentral:rRNA from 1 species
UACGGGGGGGGCAAGCGUUGUUCGGAAUUACUGGGCGUAAAGGGCUCGUAGGUGGCCAACUAAGUCAUACGUGAAAUCCCUCGGCUUAACCGGGGAACUGCGUCUGAUACUGGAUGGCUUGAGGUUGGGAGAGGUGAGUGGAACUGCGAGUGUAGAGGUGAAAUUCGUAGAUAUUCGCAAGAACACCAGUGGCGAAGGCGGCUCACUGGCCCGGUACUGACGCUGAGGUGCGAAAGCGUGGGGAGCAAACAGG